CUAAGAGAAUGGAAAUUCAGAAAAAAACUUUCUUUAAAUUAAAAAUUGAAGUUUUUUUAAUUUGUGCAGAAACAAUUAUUAAUAUUAAGGACAAGAAGACCCUAUGAAUUUAUUAAAUUUUAUUUAAUAUGUAAUUACUAUCAAUAAAAUUUUGGCUGGGGCGGUUAAAAAAUAUUUCAAACUUUUUAAAAAUAAAAUGAUCCAUUAUUAAUGACUUUAUGUUAAAUACUCUAGGGAUAACAGCGUUAUAUUUUUUGAUAGAUCAUAUUGACAAAAAAGUUUGCGACCUCGAUGUUGGAUUAGGAUACUUUUUUAAUGCAGAUAUUAAAAAAAGAAGUUUGUUCAACUUUUAAUUUCCUACAUGAUCUGA
rnacentral:rRNA from 1 species